GAGUUUGAUCCUGGCUCAGGACGAACGCUGGCGGCGCGCUUAACACAUGCAAGUCGAGCGAGAACCGGGCCUUCGGGCCCGGGGAAAGCGGCGAACGGGUGAGUAUCACGUGGGUAAUCCACCCUCGGCACCGGGAUAGCCCGGGGAAACCCGGAUUAAUACCGGAUGGCCUCCGACACCUGCGGGCGUCGGAGAAAAGGUAGCUUCGGCCUCCGGCCGAGGAUGAGCCCGCGGCGGAUUAGCUUGUUGGUGGGGUAACGGCUCACCAAGGCGACGAUCCGUAGCUGGUCUGAGAGGACGAUCAGCCACACUGGGACUGAGACACGGCCCAGACUCCUACGGGAGGCAGCAGUGGGGAAUCUUGCGCAAUGGGCGAAAGCCUGACGCAGCGACGCCGCGUGCGGGAAGAAGGCCUUCGGUUGU
rnacentral:rRNA from 1 species